UCUGGCCCACAAGUCUCCAAGCCGGCAAUGAAUGAAUGAAUCAAUGAAUGAAUGAAUCAAUGAAUGAAUGAAUCAAUGAGUGAGUGAGUGGCUGAAAGAGGAAGCAAUACAAUGUAGCCAAAAGUUUAGCCAGUGGAUCCUGUCUGUGGCUUUGGCUGUUUUUUGUUUUGUUUUUUGGUUUUGUUUUGUUUUGUUUUUUACACAGGGGCUGUAACAGCAGUCUAGUGGGCUGGCUGCAUGGAGGGACGCAGCCCUCUGGGCCAGCUGAUGUGAUGAGGGAGCCAAGCUACUCCUCAGCAGGAAAAGGUCUUACACUUACAUCUCAGAGCAUGUCUUGGGCUGCCUAAUGGAGCUGCUUCUCUUUUGUUCUUCCUUUUGCAGCUGUUUUCAAGCCUUGCAUUUUAGGUGCGUGGGUGUUUGGUCUGACACAUGUCUGUGCAGCAUGUGCAGUGCCCGUGGAAGCUUGCAGAAGAUGUUGAAUUUCCUAGAACUGGAGUUAUAGACACUUCGGAGCCACCUUAACAGUGCUGGGAGUCGAACUCCGGUCCUCUGGAGGAGCAGCCAGUCCUCUUACCCUCCAGGUCAGAAGUUCAAU
rnacentral:lncRNA from 1 species